AGUUUAACUGAAAGAGCCCAACUACUGAAGAAUGUUUUUAAGAAGAACCAUGUGAACUUGUAUCGCUCUGACUCUCUGCAGCAAAACUUGCUUCAUGGCUACGCUUUCUCUCAAGAUGAAAAUGGAAUCGUUUCCCAAUCUGAAGUAAUAAGAGCUUACGACACCACAAAGCAGAGGCCUGACGAAUGGUGAAGGAACGUGGCUUGCGAUUUAGGCCUUAUUAAUUACUUUGGUGAUAUAGACUUCUAGAUCUUUGCUGGGAACUGUGACCAAGGCCCCAUUAUCAAAGAUUUUAAGAUCCAUGAUGGUCCUACUCCAUGAAGUUUGGAUUUGUGUAUUCAGUAGACAUAAGCACUGUGCAACUAUACUGUACCACACCAUCUCUCUAAAAUUUUUAAGGAGGAUUCGCUUAGCCUUUGUAAACAGAUUGAAAUUUACCUUGUAUCUUGCCAGCUUGCUUAUUUUACAACGAAGCUGAAUCAAUACUGGUCAUAUACUUGGAAUGUAAUGGUCAGAUUGCUAAACAUACUUUACAUUGACAGACCAUUAGCAUCUGUUAAGGUUUUUAAGUGAUAAAUAUUUAAAUACAGUUGAUAACAAGCCUUGAUAGCUUGAUUUCAACAAGUGCUGAAAAAAAAUACCUUAAAGGUGUUAAUUUGCCUUUAAGAAAGAUUUUGAAUCAAGAUAUUUAUAGAUGUUUGUGUCAAACUAACCUAAAAAUGUUUGCCAAAGAAGUUCCAUAAAUGUUUUCUCUCUUCAGAAGUAAUUUGAAAGGAAAUUAACUCCAGUCCUGAU